rnacentral:rRNA from 1 species
GACGAACGCUGGCGGCGCGCUUAACACAUGCAAGUCGAACGGAAAGGCCUGCUUUCCCUUGUGGAUUGCGGGUACUCGAGUGGCGAACGGGUGAGUAACACGUGAGUGAUCUGCCCCCAACUUGGGUAUAAGCCUGGGAAACUGGGUCUAAUUCCCGAUAGGACUGCAGGGUGGUGCCUGUGGUGGAAAACGAUUUUCUAGUGGUUGGGGAUGAGCUCGCGGCCUAUCAGCUUGUUGGUGGGGUAAUGGCCUACCAAGGCGGCGACGGGUAGCCGGCCUGAGAGGGUGGACGGCCACAUUGGGACUGAGAUACGGCCCAGACUCCUACGGGAGGCAGCAGUGGGGAAUAUUGCACAAUGUGCGGAAGCCUGAUGCAGCGACGCCGCGUGGGGGAUGACGGCCUUCGGGUUGUAAACUCCUUUCGACCGCGAGGAAGCCACCUGGUUGGAAGGGUGGUGACGGUAGUGGUAGAAGAAGCACCGGCUAACUACGUG